rnacentral:rRNA from 1 species
CGGGAGGGUGCCUACCAUGCAGUCGAGCGGAGAUGAAGAAGUUUACUUUGGAUUCUUAGCGGCGGACGGGUGAGUAACGCGUGGGCAACCUACCCUGUACAGGGGGAUAACAAUGGGAAACCAUUGCUAAUACCCCAUGACGCCUUUUGGGGGCAUCCCCAAAAGGUCAAAGAACUUCGGUACAGGAUGGGCCCGCGUCUGAUUAGCUAGUUGGUGAGGUAAUGGCUCACCAAGGCGACGAUCAGUAGCCGGCCUGAGAGGGUGAACGGCCACACUGGAACUGAGACACGGUCCAGACUCCUACGGGAGGCAGCAGUGGGGAAUAUUGCACAAUGGGGGAAACCCUGAUGCAGCAACGCCGCGUGAGCGAUGAAGGCCUUCGGGUCGUAAAGCUCUGUCCUAAGGGAAGAUAAUGACGGUACCUUAGGAGGAAGCCCCGGCUAACUACGUGCCAGCAGCCGCGGUAAUACGUAGGGGGCAAGCGUUAUCCGGAAUCAUUGGGCGUAAAGGGUGCGUAGGCUGCCCUAUAGGUCAGAGGUCAAAGGCUACGGCUCAACCGUAGUAAGCCUUUGAAACUGUAGGGCUUGAGUGCAGGAGAGGAGAGUGGAAUUCCUAGUGUAGCGGUGAAAUGCGUAGAUAUUAGGAGGAACACCAGUGGCGAAGGCGACUCUCUGGACUGCAACUGACGCUGAGGCACGAAAGCGUGGGUAGCGAACAGGAUUAGAUACCCUGGUAGUCCACGCCGUAAACGAUGAGUGCUAGGUGUUGGGGGUCGAACCUAGGUGCCGAAGUUAACGCAUUAAGCACUCCGCCUGGGGAGUACGUACGCAAGUAUGAAACUCAAAGGAAUUGACGGGGACCCGCACAAGCAGCGGAGCAUGUGGUUUAAUUCGAAGCAACGCGAAGAACCUUACCUGGACUUGACAUCCCUCUGACCGAUUCUUAACCCGAAUCCUUCCCUUCGGGGACAGAGGAGACAGUGUGCAUGGUUGUCGUCAGCUCGUGUCGUGAGAUGUUGGGUUAAGUCCCGCAACGAGCGCAACCCUUGUCUUUAGUUGCCAUCAUAAAGUUGGGCACUCUUAGAGAGAACUGCCG